rnacentral:lncRNA from 1 species
AAAACCACAUCAGAGCUGUUCUCCCAUGAGAGAUUGAAAAGACUCAAUUUUUCAGCAGAGCAUGCAGGGAUGUUGAAAACCCAUCUCUGGCCCACCAGUGAAAAUAAUGACUCCUGCUAUUUUGGGUUCUGUGGAGCUAAGAUGAAGUAUCAAAAAAAGAUUCCGAUGUUUUCUGAUACCAUCGUGCUCCUUGGCAUAGGAGGGAUGAAUGGAACAGAAGCUCACAUGUGGAAGAUGACUGAUUUUUGUAGCAUUGCAGGCAGGAGCUGCCAGCAGGGAAGCUAAUACAUGAGGGGCUGAGGAGUGAGUGCUUGAGGAGGAAACCAUCUAGAUCUCUUAGACAGCUUAGUAUGUAAUUCUGGUAAUACUAUGGACUCUUUUCAUUCCGCUUUCUGUAAUAAUUUAUGAGAGCUAAGAGACUGUAGUUAGUAAUGGGUCUACUAUGGCUAUUUUUCCUCUGAGCCAUAUCCUUAAUGGUAUUUUUAUACAAUAUUUUUUUUUGCCUUUGCGAGCUAAGCUGUUUUGCUGUGUGCUCAAAGCCUGUUGGGGCAUGGUGUGGGUGGCUGCAGUGCAGUGGGUGCUGUACCUGUGGCACAGCAGGGCUGUCCCAAAGCUCUGGAGAAGGGGAAGAUGUGCCC